UACGAAGGGGGCUAGCGUUGUUCGGAAUUACUGGGCGUAAAGCGCACGUAGGCGGAUAUUUAAGUCGGGGGUGAAAUCCCGGGGCUCAACCCCGGAACUGCCUUCGAUACUGGGUAUCUUGAGUUCGGAAGAGGUGAGUGGAAUUGCGAGUGUAGAGGUGAAAUUCGUAGAUAUUCGGAAGAACACCAGUGGCGAAGGCGGCUCACUGGACGACUGUUGACGCUGAGGUGCGAAAGCGUGGGGAGCAAACAGG
rnacentral:rRNA from 1 species